ACGUAAGAGGGGAAACGGAACCUUACGUUUCUUUUAGGUAGUAGAGAAAUACUUACAGUUUGGUCGAUGAGGAUGGCGUGAAAGAUGGCUGCUCCACUCCGGGUAUGUUUGAUGCGAGCAUACAAAACCUUUGCCGUUGCGUCCCAACCUCUACUGUAUAUAUGAAUGGAUAAAAUGUUGCCUGGCGAUCGGCGGUGGAGGGCCAACGGGAGCGGGAACGAAGUUCACAGGCGGUGGUGCCCUGGCCCUCUUCGAGCCAGGACGGCCCAUCCUGGGUCCCAUCGGCAUGAGUGCUAAGACCCGAUUUCUCUUCUAACACGACUCAUGGUUCAGAACGCAAGGACGUAUAUUGACUGAUCUGACUAUUUUCAUUUUCAUUGGCGCCAAGUAAACCAUGGUGAUAGGAAAAAGGAAGUGAUUGAAAGAAGGAGAUUGAUCAACGUUUGAUUGAAAGAAGGAAGGAGAUUUAUCACCGUCAUGAAUGAAUUGAUUGCCAUGCAUGAA